GGGGAUAGAUUUUUGAUCUAUAGUGUACUUACUCUGAUUCGUAGUUGGUUCAAUCCGACCUGAUUGCCAAUCCAAAUUUUAAAUAUAUGUAUUAUUUAUUUAAAAUCUAAAUACCAGUAAUUGAGCAUACACAGUCACUUGUUUUAAAUAUUUGCACAAUAGCUUCUAAUACAAGCAUCGCCUUCCUAAAACAUGUGCAUUGGAUAUAUGUGCAUCAUCUAUUUAAAAUAUCUAUACACCA
rnacentral:lncRNA from 1 species